GGAGUACGUGCAGCUGGGUAACACUCCGCAGCCCCACAUCUACGCGGCACAAGAUGUCCAACACUUAAAGACUUUCAUAAUGAGCCGUUAGUGAGGCAACCUGUAGUCUUCAGAAACUAUUCUAAAAGAGAAGGAUAUUGAUAGGAGGCUCUUUGAUCAUCUCUUAUUAUGUGGGCUUUGGAAGCCAAUAGAACAUCUGUACGUUGGAAUGCGUCCUUCUCAGGAGUGUCGGAGAUGGCUCCCAUUAAGUUCUAGCGGACCUCCAAACCCCCUGCCUGUCAAGGCAUCAGCCUCCUGUUACAGAUGAUUUACAUGAUGGUGGCCAGACAAUUUGCAGAAGUCAAGCAAUUAAUCAGAUCACAGCAUGUGUGUCAAAAGAACACAAACUCAGUAAUCAUCACCUCUGGAGUUACUUUCUCUAUUCCAUGCCCUUGGAGUGCGUAAUAAAUAAUUUUGAAGAACGGAUGACUAAUUUCCAUGCAUCCAAUUUCCUUUUCUACAAUUUUUCUCCACGAUGUUCUGAUUCUUUUCCAUUCAUCACGAUAGCGAACAAGACUCUCACUGAUGGCUGUAAACCACUGAGCAGAGACACAGUUUGUGUAGAAGAUAAUUUUUUGUAAAGGUGUCAGUUUGCUCUGGAAGAUGAUUUAAAACGAAGAACAAUUUUUUUUAUGAAUGUAUGCCUUUGCAGAAGGCAGAGUUCACUGUUCUUCAAAAUGAUUCAUUGAUGAGACUCAUUAUGUACCUUGUAGUACGACAUCUUCAUGGAGUAUCAAUUUACGGGGGGAGUGUUUGAUGAUAGAUGAUUGUCUAACGAGGCGCAUUGAAAGCAUGUUAAGUCCAAACUUACUACGCUUUGUAAGUAUUUGUUGAUUCUACUUAACACUGCCCAUAUAGUUACCCGCUUUCAGAGGCGGCCAAAAAUAUCCAGAUAAAUAAUUACAUGUUUAAGCACAACAGUUAACAUGGA